CAAAUUAGAGCUUGAUAUAAGCAUUUCAUUUACAUUGAAAAGAUAAUAUAAUUUAUUUAAUUUGA
rnacentral:tRNA from 1 species